rnacentral:pre_miRNA from 1 species
UAAAUACUCCCUCCGUUCCAAAAUAAGUGUCGCUGCUUUAGUAUUAAAUUUGUACUAAUUUAGUACAAAUUUAGUAUUAAAUUACGACACUUAUUUUGGGAUGGAGGGAGUAGGAG